GAAAUGAUCCAGAAGAUGCUCUCCACUGUUCUCAAUAUCAUCAUCAUAUUUGAAGGACUGUCGGAAUCAGUGGUCCAUGAGCAGACCUCUCCUUGGUCUCAUUCUCCUCAAUGAGAAGUAUUUCUCGGACUUACGGAGCAGCAUUGUUGUUAGUAGCCAGCCCCCUCUGAGAAGCAACAAGCCAUGAAUCUAUGCUUUGAGAAUUCGAAUGGAGGGCAUUGAAAAGGAACUUGCUCACAAAAACAAUCGAGACAGGUUCACACAGAAUCUUUCUGCAUUCAGACGAGAAGUGA